GCUAAUUGAGCCAGGGACACUGACAGAUCUAACAGAAAGUGUCUUCAUUGGGAAAUUGCCAUCUGAAGCCUCCUUGUUCCUUCAGAAACCAGGAGGAGAGAGAGAGUCAGAGGGAGCCUGACAGGAAGUGAGGAUUCGAGACUUCAAACACAAACAUUAUGAGAAACAAGCAACAUCUGCAAACAAGUUCCGGGUCCUACCUCAAACCUCCUCAAGAGAUGGUGGAAUGAUGGGCAAUGGCUGUGGGUUUGCCAUGGUCUCUGUGGAAACUUCUCUUCUUAUAAAGAUGUGCCGCCUGUCAUCAGCCUACGAGCCACAAGCAACUCUUCAGCUUCAUUACACCGGAAAUAUGCAGCUGGAGGAUGCCUUCUGCCCUGAGAACAGGGUUCCUGCCAUCAGACCGAAGCCUCUGAAUCGCCCAACCACUUCCACUGUAGUGAGCAGUAGCAUACCUUCCUCCUUGCUUUGUUUAUGAAAACGUGCAUCAACUUACUGGAUGUCUUCUUGCUAUAAUUGGAUUUAAUUCAUUAUCUUUCCUUUCAAUAAAAUCACGGGAAAACA